CACGUCCAAAAAUUAUGCAACCAGUGCCACAACGACCGUAUUUGAGUUAGCUAUCCAUAGAAACAAACGGCAUCUCAAACGGUUUUACAGAGAGAGAACAGUCACCUUUUUAGUGCCUGUCUGUCCAGAAUACGGGUUUAACCCAAAUUCUUCCAAUUCUUCUAGUUCCCUUAAUUCUUAACUCAUAUUCACCAAAUCCAUUAAUUGUGAACAGAAUACAUGCAUAUCCAAAUAUGGAAACAUGAUUUGGGGUUAGGAAUUAGAAUUUCAACCAUCAACAUGAGAAGGAAUGGAGAAAUCAAGUUCUUACCUUAGAAUCCUAACAACUCCAAUUGAUGGUUGUGAACAUAGAUUGGCAUAUGCAAGCUUUAACAAUGGAGGAACAUGAACUUGUGAGGGGGGGAAGGGAUUUUCGACCAAUAGCAGGAAUGAGAGGAAAUCAAAAAUUGAUUUUGCUUCUAACGAGUUCAAUCGAUGUUGGGCACUAUAAUUUUCACACAUGCAGUGCUUAUUGAGAGAAUAAUUGAUUUUUGGUUUUCAUGGAGGAGGGAGUAUUGUCGUUGCUGAAGAAGAAGGGGGAAGGAGGUGCCUGUGAAGGAGG
rnacentral:lncRNA from 1 species